GAGCUUCACAAGGUUUUUUAAUAAACUGAAAGGUCCUUCGCUCCUGCCUGAUGAUAAAAUGAAAGGAACCAGUGAGGUAUGGUACAACGAGGCAGCGAAAAAAGAGAAGCUCAUCAGAAAAUAACAAAGGUGCAAGUUAAAGAUAAGGCAGCUGUCAGAGAUUAAUCCUGCUUCCCUGAUUGUUUUCUUUAAUACCAAGGCCUGCAAUAGCAAGCGAUAAGUUUGCUGAGUAAUUUGGUUUUGGGUGAGGAAAUAAAAUUCAGACAAGUUCUCACACUUCUUCUCAAGGCCUUGCUGAAGGUGAGAGACUUUGUGCCCCUCGCACAGCCUAGGCCAGCUGUGGAAUUAAACUUCAGGAAAAUAUCAUCCGGCUUUUCCUUUGUGGGUUUGGAACAACGCUAUCGCAGGGCCACAGAAAAAAGGAAGGAACAGAAAGGAAUACAAAUCCCAUUUGCAGGCAAGCUUUUAGGUGGCCUGGAAGUGUCCAACCUUUUUAGAGACAGACAAGGACUGGAUAUAAUGGAGCUACUUCUUACCAAUCUAAUGUCUGCCCCAUAGUGUCCGGCAAACAAUAGCACACAGUUGUGCCAUUGUCCUCAAAGUGCCAUGUCUGCUUACAUCUGGCUUGGUUCUUAAAAGUUUUAUCCAGUAGAAACCAACAUUGUCUCUCUCACUGAUAUGCACACACAGAGUCUCGUUGAAUGAAUGGGUCAGUCUGUAAAGUUCCAAGUGGUCACUGCUACUCAAAUUAACUCUUCACCUGGACCUACUCCUCCAAAUUUCAGGUCUACUUGAAGAGAGGCAACAGUGCCUUAUGGACUCUUUCCUUUGAUUGAGACAGUGACAGAUAUCCAAAUGUCUUCCAAGGAGGACAGAAGUUGAUUUGUGCCUCUUUUUUUUUGACUCCCAGUGAAGCUCCCAGGGUUACAGAAGCAAAAGCAACAAGGGACCCAUACCAAAGCUAGCAUGAGAGUCACAAAGGCUCUAGGUGUCAGAAGUGCCAUUUCAUGCCUGUGCUUGCUAUCACUUGAUGCCAGUCUGCCCUGAACUCUGGGACGAGGGAGCUAGAUGAGAGGAGGGACAGUUCAGAAUUCACCUUACCUUCUGGAGACACAACUUCAAGGUCAGAUGGCUAGGAAUGACAUGGAGCAGCAUACUGGCCAGCCCAAAGUUGAGACCAUUCCCAAAACACCAUAUUCAAAUACAAUUGGACAAUGAGAGACCAGCAGAGAGAAGUACCUUGGGGGGUGGAGGAAGUUAUACUUGGACAUUUUGGAUCGUGGAUUUCAGUUCUGGCUUUGCUUUAUUGUAUUUCACUUGACCUUUAGUAAAGUAUACCUUUCUC